rnacentral:rRNA from 1 species
CAGAGAACUGAAACAUCUAAGUACCUGCAGGAAGAGAAAGAAAAUUCGAUUCCCUGAGUAGCGGCGAGCGAAACGGGAAAAGCCCAAACCAAUGAGCUUGCUCAUUGGGGUUGUAGGACUCCAAUAUGGUAGUUCUUUCAGAUAGUCGAAUGACUUGGAAAAGUCAGUCAAAGAGGGUAAAAACCCCGUAGAUGAAAUUUGGAAGGCACCUAGGAGGAUCCUGAGUACGGCGGAACACGAGGAAUUCCGUCGGAAUCCGGGAGGACCAUCUCCCAAGGCUAAAUACUCCCUAGUGACCGAUAGUGAACCAGUACCGUGAGGGAAAGGUGAAAAGCACCCCGGAAGGGGAGUGAAAUAGAACCUGAAACCGUG